UACAGAGGUCUCAAGCGUUGUUCGGAGUCAUUGGGCGUAAAGGGUGCGUAGGCGGCGCGGUAAGUCGGGUGUGAAAUCUCGGGGCUUAACUCCGAAACUGCAUUCGAUACUGCCGUGCUUGAGGACUGGAGAGGAGACUGGAAUUUACGGUGUAGCGGUGAAAUGCGUAGAUAUCGUAAGGAAGACCAGUGGCGAAGGCGGGUCUCUGGACAGUUCCUGACGCUGAGGCACGAAGGUCAGGGGAGCAAACGGG
rnacentral:rRNA from 1 species